rnacentral:rRNA from 1 species
CCUACGGGAGGCAGCAGUGAGGAAUAUUGGUCAAUGGACGAGAGUCUGAACCAGCCAAGUAGCGUGAAGGAUGACUGCCCUAUGGGUUGUAAACUUCUUUUAUAUGGGAAUAAAACGUUCCACGUGUGGGAUUUUGUAUGUACCAUAUGAAUAAGUAUCGGCUAACUCCGUGCCAGCAGCCGCGGUAAUACGGAGGAUCCGAGCGUUAUCCGGAUUUAUUGGGUUUAAAGGGAGCGUAGGUGGAUUGUUAAGUCAGUUGUGAAAGUUUGCGGCUCAACCGUAAAAUUGCAGUUGAAACUGGCAGUCUUGAGUACAGUAGAGGUGGGCGGAAUGCGUGGUGUAGCGGUGAAAUGCUUAGAUAUCACGAAGAACUCCGAUUGCGAAGGCAGUUCACUGGACUGCAACUGACACUGAGGCUCGAAAGUGUGGGUAUCAAACAGGAUUAGAUACCCUUGUAGUC